UGGGGGAUAUUGCACAAUGGGCGAAAGCCUGAUGCAGCGACGCCGCGUGGGGGAUGAAGGCUUUCGGGUUGUAAACCUCUUUCGCUAUCGAACAAGGCCCGCUUAGGGUGGGUUGAGGGUAGGUGGAGAAGAAGCGCCGGCCAACUACGUGCCAGCAGCCGCGGUAAUACGUAGGGCGCGAGCGUUGUCCGGAAUUAUUGGGCGUAAAGGGCUUGUAGGCGGCUUGUUGCGCCUGCUGUGAAAACGCGGGGCUUAACUUCGCGCGUGCAGUGGGUACGGGCAGGCUUGAGUGUGGUAGGGGUGACUGGAAUUCCAGGUGUAGCGGUUGAAUGCGCAGAUAUCUGGAGGAACACCGAUGGCGAAGGCAGGUCACUGGGCCAUUACUGACGCUGAGGAGCGAAAGCAUGGGUAGCGAACAGG
rnacentral:rRNA from 1 species